rnacentral:lncRNA from 1 species
AUGUGGAGGGAGCUCAGAGGCUGUCCUGGAGGAGACGUGGAGACAGCUCAGAGGCUGUCCCAGAGAAGACGUGGAAAGAGCUCAGAGGCUGUCCCAGAGAAGACGUGGAGAGCUCAGAGGAUGUCCCAGAGAAGACGUGGAGAGAGUUCAGAGGCUGUCCCGGAGAAGACGUGGAAAGAGCUCAGAAACUCAGAGACUGUCCCGGAGAAGACAUGGAAACAGCUCAGACGCUGUCUGCAAGAAGAUGUGGAGAGAGUUCAGAGGCUGUCGUUACUGCUGCACUUGGCUGUUUUUCUUUGGAUAAUUAUUGCAAUCAAUUUUAGUAAUUCAGGUGUUAAAUCACAGUCAAGCACCUAUUUACCUAGUGGUGAGUUCCUUUAU